AUUGAACGCUGGCGGCAGGCCUCACACAUGCAAGUCGAGCGGAGCGGCGUACGGGUGAGUAAUGCCUAGGAAUCUGCCUGGUAGUGGGGGAUAACGUCCGGAAACGGGCGCUAAUACCGCAUACUAUCAGAUGAGCCUAGGUAGGAUUAGCUAGUUGGGGGGGUAAAGUCCUACAAAGGCGACGAUCCGUAACUGGUCUGAGAGGAUGAUCAGUCACACUGGAACUGAGAAACGGUCCAGACUCCUACGGGAGGCAGCAGUGGGGAAUAUUGGACAAUGGGCGAAAGCCUGAUCCAGCCAUGCCGCGUGUGUGAAGCAGGUCUUCGGAUUGUAAAGCACUUUUAGUUGGGAGGCGUUACCAACAGAAUAAGCACCGGCUAACGUCGUGCCAGCAGCCGCGGUAAUUC
rnacentral:rRNA from 1 species